rnacentral:rRNA from 1 species
CCAACUGAUAUGACGUGCUUGCACAGAUUUGACGAUGGAUCACCAGUGAGCGGCGGACGGGUGAGUAACACGUGGGCAACCUGCCCUGGAGCGGGGGAUAACAUUUGGAAACAGAUGCUAAUACCGCAUAACAAUCAAAACCACAUGGUUUUGAUUUCAAAGAUGGUUUCGGCUAUCACUCCAGGAUGGGCCCGCGGUGCAUUAGCUAGUUGGUAAGGUAACGGCUUACCAAGGCGAUGAUGCAUAGCCGAGUUGAGAGACUGAUCGGCCACAAUGUAACUGAGACACGGUCCAUACUCCUACGGGAGGCAGCAGUAGGGAAUCUUCCACAAUGGGCGCAAGCCUGAUGGAGCAACACCGCGUGAGUGAAGAAGGGUUUCGGCUCGUAAAACUCUGUUGUUGAAGAAGAACGUGCGUGAGAGUAACUGUUCACGCAGUGACGGUAUUCAACCAGAAAGUCACGGCUAACUACGUGCCAGCAGCCGCGGUAAUACGUAGGUGGCAAGCGUUAUCCGGAUUUAUUGGGCGUAAAGCGAGCGCAGGCGGUUACUUAAGUCUGAUGUGAAAGCCUUCGGCUUAACCGAAGA